rnacentral:rRNA from 1 species
UAUUGGACAAUGGGCGAAAGCCUGAUCCAGCAAUGCCGCGUGAGUGAUGAAGGCCUUAGGGUUGUAAAGCUCUUUUACCCGGGAUGAUAAUGACAGUACCGGGAGAAUAAGCUCCGGCUAACUCCGUGCCAGCAGCCGCGGUAAUACGGAGGGAGCUAGCGUUGUUCGGAAUUACUGGGCGUAAAGCGCACGUAGGCGGCUUUGUAAGUUAGAGGUGAAAGCCUGGAGCUCAACUCCAGAAUUGCCUUUGAUACUGCAUCGCUUGAAUCCGGGAGAGGUGAGUGGAAUUCCGAGUGUAGAGGUGAAAUUCGUAGAUAUUCGGAAGAACACCAGUGGCGAAGGCGGCUCACUGGACUGGUAUUGACGCUGAGGUGCGAA